UAAAGUGGAAUUUAAUGGUGGCUUUCUGAAAAUGGUUCCAUCCAGGAGCAUAAAUUGUAGUGAUCAAAAAAUGUUUCGCUCAGUUCUCAAAGCUAAAGUUUCUUGGCCUCGUAGGUACAGUAAAGGAGUAGGCUUUCUGAGAUGUGAUCCUAUGGAUGUUCCUUUAAUUUUAGAUGACCUCUCUGAUCUUAUGAUUGGUGGAAAUGUCAUCCGUUGUGAGGCAAGCGAUAAGAA
rnacentral:misc_RNA from 1 species